rnacentral:rRNA from 1 species
AACGAACGCUGGCGGCAUGCCUAACACAUGCAAGUCGAGCGGUAAGGCCCUUUCGGGGGUACACGAGCGGCGAACGGGUGAGUAACACGUGGGUGACCUGCCCUUAGCUCUGGGAUAAGCCUGGAAAACUGGGUCUAAUACCGGAUAUGACUCCAUGACGCAUGUUGUGGGGUGGAAAGCCUUGUGCGGCUGGGGAUGGGCCCGCGGCCUAUCAGCUUGUUGGUGGGGUGAUGGCCUACCAAGGCGA